UACGAAGGGGGCUAGCGUUGCUCGGAAUCACUGGGCGUAAAGCGCACGUAGGCGGAUUGCUAAGUCAGGGGUGAAAUCCUGGAGCUCAACUCCAGAACUGCCUUUGAUACUGGCGAUCUUGAGUCCGGGAGAGGUGAGUGGAGCUGCGAGUGUAGAGGUGAAAUUCGUAGAUAUUCGCAAGAACACCAGUGGCGAAGGCGGCUUACUGGUCCGGUUCUGACGCUGAGGCGCGAAAGCGUGGGGAGCAAACAGG
rnacentral:rRNA from 1 species